AUUGAACGCUGGCGGCAGGCUUAACACAUGCAAGUCGAGCGGAGUGAUGGUGCUUGCACUAUCACUUAGCGGCGGACGGGUGAGUAAUGCUUAGGAAUCUGCCUAUUAGUGGGGGACAACAUCUCGAAAGGGAUGCUAAUGCCGCAUACGUCCUACGGGAGAAAGCAGGGGAUCACUUGUGACCUUGCGCUAAUAGAUGAGCCUAAGUCGGAUUAUCUAGUUGGUGGGGUAAAGGACUAACAAGGCGACGAUCUGUAGCGGGUCUGAGAGGAUGAUCCGCCACACUGGGACUGAGACACGGCCCAGACUCCUACGGGAGGCAGCAGUGGGGAAUAUUGGACAAUGGGGGGAACCCUGAUCCAGCCAUGCCGCGUGUGUGAAGAAGGCCUUAUGGUUGUAAAGCACUUUAAGCGAGGAGGAGGCUCUUUUGGUUAAUACCCAAGAUGAGUGGACGUUACUCGCAGAAUAAGCACCGGCUAACUCUGUGCCAGCCGCCGCAGUAAGAC
rnacentral:rRNA from 1 species